GGUAGCUCAAUUGGCAGAGUAUCGGUCUCCAAAACCGAAUGUUGCAGGUUCGAUUCCUGCCC
rnacentral:tRNA from 2 species